UCCAAUGUCUGUAAUACGGUCGCUCCUCUGUCUUGUGCCCACCGCACGAGCCGCCAGCACCCAAAUCCCCUCGAUUCUUUCUCCCUCGUUCCCGAAUCCCGAUCCGCCGCCACUCUUCCAGAUCCUUCUCCCCGAUUCUCCCCUGACUCCUCUAGGCGGUCGUAGGCUGCCGUGAGCCAAGUUCCAUCGCCGGUUCAUCAGGCCACCAUGGGUACCGCCAUGGGCCAGGAGGCAGACGGCGCUGACCCGUCGCUGGUUGCCUUCCUCGAUCCGUCGCCGAGGAACUACGCCGGAGUCGAGGAAGCCGCGUCGACCCGUCUCUGAGGAGCUCCGCCGACUCGUCGCCAAGGACGCCGCGUCGACCCGUCGCUGAGGAGCUUCGCGCGAGGACGCCGCGUCGACCCGUCGCUGAGGAGCUCCGCCGACUCGUCGCCCAGGACCCGUCGCCGAGGAGCUUCGCCGACUCGCCGCCGAGAACGCCGCGUCGACCCGUUCACUGAGGGGCUCCGUCGACCCAUCGCCGGGGAGCUUCGCCAAGGACGCAGCGUCGACCCGUCGCCUUGGUACUGUGCCUUGGUGGAUGCUACCACCCAAUGGCAAACUCUGCAACGGCCUCCACUUCCCAUGUGAACCAUGCGGACGAUGGAGAGGAGAGCCGCCAUCUAGGAUACCGGAGCUGCGCACCGAUCGGUCGUAGGGUCUCCUGCAGGCUCUUGGCGCCGCUGGACGGUGAUGGGAUGGCGGCAGCUAUGGCUGCAGAAGGUUGUUUGUCUGUAAUUUUUAGUUUUUUGAGUAAGGUGCAGUUUGUUUUUGCUCUUGCUCUAACCAGUGCUUCCAUAAUUUGUAUUUCUAUUGAAUUAUAUAUAUUAUGGGAAUUUCUAUCGAAUGAUAUAUGGGCACAAAUCCUAUUAAUUGAUUGUA